rnacentral:rRNA from 1 species
CGCACGGGUGAGUAACACGUAUCCAACCUGCCGUCUACUCUUGGACAGCCUUCUGAAAGGAAGAUUAAUACAAGAUGGCAUCAUGAGUCCGCAUGUUCACAUGAUUAAAGGUAUUCCGGUAGACGAUGGGGAUGCGUUCCAUUAGAUAGUAGGCGGGGUAACGGCCCACCUAGUCUUCGAUGGAUAGGGGUUCUGAGAGGAAGGUCCCCCACAUUGGAACUGAGACACGGUCCA